AACCAAAUGGGAUUCCUUAAGUAAUUGCGAAUGAACAGGGAAAUGCUCAGCUUGAAAAAUGGGGCCUUUGGCUUUGAAUUGUAAUUUUGAAAUGUANUGCCAAUGGAGGCGCAGGUGCAAGCCUAUUGAAAGAAAGCGUCAAUGAGGGUGAGAUUCCUUUUUGUCAUUUGCAGUCCUCCGUGCACGGUAUAUAUUUGACGAGUCACACUCCUCGGCAUUGGAAUGCAAAGUGGGUGGUAAAUUCCAUGUAAAGGUAAAUAUAUUAUUGAGACUGAUAGCAAACAAGUACCAUGAGGGAAAUAUGAAAAGGACUUUGAAAAGAGAAUUAAAAGAGUCUGCAUUUGCUGAACAGAAAGCAAACAGAAUUGAUUUUACUUGGUGAGAUUGUUGUGCUUACUCUAUCAUUUAUAUGGUUGAUGUGGGUGCGAUGGUUCUUACCUUGAAUGUCAGCUUCUAUUUCUGCAAAUCAUUACCCUUGCACAUGAAUGGUAAUUUGCCUGCGGGUAUUGGAAUGCAUGUGUUUGCAAUGAUUUGUGAUUUGACGCAUGUGUUUGGUGAAAUUUGUAUAUGCUCUUUUGUCGAAGGGGAAAGCUUACUUUUUUGAGCAUUGCAAGCCCUUACA
rnacentral:rRNA from 1 species